CCGGGCUCAAACGCACGACGGCGGUACGUGAAAGCGUGCUUACCUACGGGACGUUGUGCGAGGUGCUGCAUCGUUGUCGUCAGCUCGUGCCGUGAGGUGUCGGCUUAAGUGCCAUAACGAGCGCAACCCCCAUCCGCAGUUGCCAGCAGGUAAAGCUGGGGACUCUGCGGAGACUGUCGGCGCAAGCUGAGAGGAAGGCGGGGAUGACGUCAAAUCAGCACGGCCCUUACGUCCGGGGCGACACACGUGUUACAAUGGCAGGGACGGAGGGAAGCCACCGGGCGACCGGGCGCGGACCCCGAAACCCUGUCUCAGUUCGGAUCGGAGUCUGCAACUCGACUCCGUGAAGCUGGAUUCGCUAGUAAUCGCGCAUC
rnacentral:rRNA from 1 species